CAACACCAAGACUAAGCAGGAGCAGGAAGCCCCCCCCCCUCGGACAGGUUGUAAGUAAGAAGACAGGCAAGUGAAGGCUGGCUGAGGUGCCCCACUUGCCUUAGUAGACCAGCCUCCACUAGAUAUUGCUCUUAAUCACAAUGGACUAUGACAGAAUUUCCCCCACCGCAGCAUUUUGCUGUAUUUAUAGAUUCCUGUGCUGAAGUUCUAAUUUGAAGCCUCUGUACGUAGCCAGAAAAAAGUCUCAAGAUUUAUUACCAGCCAGGUCGCUAUAUCUCCAAUGUCCUAUGAGCCAAUCCGCACGAAAGAGGAGCGUGUUAACCACUGAGAACAGUGUUCUCACUUGACUCCUUGCAUUUUCAUGCUGGAGGCAACCAAAGCAGAAGGGGGUGAGUAAGCCACAGAGAAGACCACACACCUUUCCUUUGGCUCCUAGAGAACAUCUGUUGUGAAAGAAUGAAGGUGCAAGAGAUGAGCGAGCAGAAAGAUGAAGGAAAGUGGGAAAGGAGGACUGCUGGACUGCUUACAUCAAGCAUAAGUUGCCCAACCUCACCUCAGACCUCAAAAGGAGACAAUGGGAGUUAGCCUACCAACACAUUCUAAAGUCCAGUUCCGCACCAGACAUCAUCCCCGCUAAUCCUCUCCUUGCCACUUUCCCACCCCCACCCCUCUAUAUGUUACCUCACAGGCCUUUCAUUGCAUCUUUGCCUAUGUGUAUCUGCAAAUAUUGUAGUUUACCAUUUAUUUUUUCAUUACCAUUUCUAUAUAAUGUAAUACGCUUUUUUCUCUUUAUUUUUUAUGGUAUGGGGCCUCUGAAUCUUGACAUGGCUUGAGGCCUCAGCAUGUCUUAAUCCAGCCCCGAUUCUGAGGGAGGAAAAGGUGAAGACAUAGGGUUGUAUCCAAUAAGGUUCUACUCAGAGUCGACCCAUAGAAAUUAAUGGACCUACAUAAGUCAUGUCCAUUAAUUUCAGUGGGUCUACUCUGAGUAUGUCUUAAUACUAGAUACAACCCUUAUAAAAAAAUCAAAUCUGUGUAUGGUUUAAGACCUUUUUUUAUUCAUUUUCAUAAAAGAGCGAACAAUUUUGGUGCAUUUCAGGUUCACCUGCCAUUCAGUUAUUUCCUGGGCAGCAUCCAGAUGACAUAUGACUGGCAUACUUCCUACCCUGCUGCUUGUGUGGUUUAGUGAAAAAAUAGAGAUGCAUUUGUAUGCAGUCUCAUACAAAAGAGAUACAAGUUCAGUGAGAUUUUGCAUUACAGUUUCACCAUUUGGACUGUAUCUCAACCCAUGCUGAUUUUUUCCCAGCUGAAAACAUCCAUAGCCCAGUGGUGGGCCAGGCGACUUUGCAUGCCAAGAUCACCGAUUUAUUCAUUUAGUUUAAGCAUUUUACUCUAGUCUUCAGCCAAAAUGACACAGAGCAGCUUCAGUAAGAUUAGUAACAAAUAAUACAGCCCCUGCCCCACAGGCUUUGACUCCAAAUGCCAUGGCAUAAAAGGAAAGAUGGGAUGAGGAGGAAAAGAGAACAAGCAAACUCAGGCACUGGUUCUUGAAAAUUACAAAGUUCAUAUAAAUAACCAUCUUGAGUAGAAACAGUUCAGGGAGAAGAGGGAGGAGCCAAAUGGAACUGGUCUCUCAACAGAGGUGAUGGAGUGGGUCCUGCUUCUCAUCACCCUCUGCUCAGUCUCUGGCACAUCCAGCCCCCAAAGGAACACAGAUAACAGGAGUGGCCAGACCAUGAAGAGCAGCUGCUAGUCAGAGCAGACAGUACAGUACUCAGUGGACCAAUGGACUUACUCAUCUUCUUUGACCUGUUGUACUAAGAACUCUGCUUUGUGUCUGUAAUAUAUAGAACACUAUGCUACAAUAUCUGUCUUAAAAUAAUAUGUAUUAUUUCUAUUCAGAAACUGGAGAGGGGGACGAUGCCUUCAUAUGAAAUAAAACAUCUUUUU